GGGGGUUUAGAUCAGCGGUAGAUCGUUGCUUUCGCAAGGCAAAGGUCGUGGGUUCAAUCCCCACAGUCUCCA
rnacentral:tRNA from 1 species